GGCGGUGAAUUCCGUCCAAGGCUAAAUACGGGCGAGAGACCGAUAGCGAACAAGUACCGCG
rnacentral:rRNA from 1 species